UAAGGAAUAUUGGUCAAUGGACGCAAGUCUGAACCAGCCAUGCCGCGUGAAGGAUGAAGGUCCUCUGGAUUGUAAACUUCUUUUAUCUGGGACGAAAACGGGAUUUUUAUCUCAAUUGACGGUACCAGAGGAAUAAGCACCGGCUAACUCCGUGCCAGCAGCCGCGGUAAUACGGAGGGUGUGAGCGUUAUCCGGAUUUACUGGGUUUAAAGGGUGCGUAGGUGGGCUUAUAAGUCAGUGGUGAAAUCUCCGAGCUUAACUUGGAAACUGCCGUUGAUACUAUAGGUCUUGAAUUAUCUGGAGGUAAGCGGAAUAUGUCAUGUAGCGGUGAAAUGCUUAGAUAUGACAUAGAACACCAAUUGCGAAGGCAGCUUACUACAUAUAAAUUGACGCUGAGGCACGAAAGCGUGGGGAUCAAACA
rnacentral:rRNA from 1 species